CGGGAAGUGGCGCAAGCGGUAGCGCACCUGCUUUGGGAGCAGGGGGUUGCAGGUUCGAGUCCUGUCUUCCCGACCA
rnacentral:tRNA from 1 species